rnacentral:rRNA from 1 species
ACCAGCGGCCAUAACACGUUGAAUGCACCAGUUCCCCACGGAUCACUGAAGUUAAGCAACGUUGCGCGUGGUUAGUACCUGGAUGGUGUGUAAAAAAAAAAUGUAAUAGGUA